rnacentral:rRNA from 1 species
UACGUAGGGGGCGAGCGUUGUCCGAAGUUACUGGGCGUAAAGAGCUCGUAGGCGGUUUGUCGCGUCUGCCGUGAAAGUCCGGGGCUCAACUCCGGAUCUGCGGUGGGUACGGGCAGACUAGAGUGAUGUAGGGGAGACUGGAAUUCCUGGUGUAGCGGUGAAAUGCGCAGAUAUCAGGAGGAACACCGAUGGCGAAGGCAGGUCUCGGGGCAUUAACUGACGCUGAGGAGCGAAAGCAUGGGGAGCGAACAGG